UUAGGGGAUCGAACCGAUAUGCUCAUUUGCUUGAUUAUGGUCUAAACAAGUGUCUUUUAAAUUUUCCUCAAAUAUGACUUGUUACAAAUUCCACCUCAAUUGCGGAAUAGGGACCAACGGUUACCUUGAUGCGAUGCUCUGGCUCUUUGGCAUCGUGUUUCCGUGCAUGGUUGUGAAAUUCAUCUUGGGAGCCCCAUGCGUGCUGACGUUGCUAGUACGCAAAUGGAGGAGAAGACACUUAGCAAUGGAUCAAAACGUUGAGGAAUUCUUGCAGUCCAAUAAUAACUUCUUGCCGAUAAGGUACUCUUAUUCUGAUAUUAGGAAAAUCACGGGCUACCUCAAGGACAAGCUAGGCGAGGGAGGGUACAGUUCCGUGUUCAAAGGAAAGCUUCGGAGUGGCCGUGAGGUGGCUGUCAAGAUUCUGAAGAAGGGGAAAACAAACGGGCAGGAUUUCAUCGGCGAAGUGGCUACCAUCGGAAGAAUUCACCAUGUUAAUGUGGUCGGACUCAUUGGUUAUUGUUUUGAGGGCUGCAAACAAGUUCUUGUCUACGAUUUCAUGCACAAUGGGUCUUUGGACAAGCAUAUUUUCUCACGAGCAGAAGGGACUUCUCUUGAUUGCAAGGAAGUGUACCGGAUUGCUCUCGGAGUAGUUAGAGGGAUUGAAUAUCUUCAUCGAGGAUGCGACGUACAAAUUCUACACUUUGAUAUCAAGCCUCACAACAUUCUUCUCGAUAGGGAUUUCACCCCAAAAGUUUCCGACUUUGGGCUUGCAAGAUUGUAUCCCACGGACCACAAUACCGUGACUCUAACUGUCGCGAGAGGAACCUUGGGAUACAUGGCUCCGGAGCUAGUCUACAAGAACCUUGGGGGCGUCUCUUACAAAGCGGAUGUCUAUAGUUUUGGCAAGUUGUUGAUAGAAAUGGCCAGUGGGAGGAAGAAUUGGGACGCGGUUGUAGAGUGUUCCAGUCAGACUUACUUCCCUUUGUGGGUUCAUGACCAACUUAGCGAAGGAUUGGACAUCCCGUUGGAGCAAGCUAGAGAGGAGGAUAGGAGAACAGUAAAGAAGAUGAUAACAGUUGCUCUUUGGUGCAUACAAUGGAGUCCUAACGACCGCCCUUCGAUGCGCAAAGUCUUGGAAAUGCUGGAAAGAGAAGCAGAUGAUCUACAAUUACCUCCCAAGCCACUCUUUUAUCCAAUAGAAGAGUCGACAAGAGAUGAUGGAACUUGGAUUGGGGAAGGCAAUGAUAUUACAUCCACUCCAUCAACUAGUGCAAUGACUUAUGAAGAUUCUCAUCUCGAGGAUACUAGUACUGGCAUUGCACAAGUGUAGGCACGUUUCGGAACCUAUUGAUCCCGUGACAUAUGCGACAAAUAGGAAAUGGUCGUAUUGAUGAUGCUUUAUGUGUACCUCCCCUUUCAUGGUCAUCAUCAGAUGGCAUAUGUUUAUAGUUAUGUUUAUGGAUCUUAAUUAUGAGUUUAUUCUAUCCAUGGUCCUUCAAUUGUAUUCUACCCAUGGUCCUUCGAGCACGAAAGUAUUUGGAAUGGUGAAGAAGUAUUUGAAAUUUACCCUCA